rnacentral:rRNA from 1 species
GAUGAACGCUGGCGGCGUGCCUAAUACAUGCAAGUCGAGCGAAUUGACAGAGGUGCUUGCACCUCUCGAUUUUAGCGGCGGACGGGUGAGUAACACGUGGGUAACCUACCUAUAAGACUGGGAUAACUUCGGGAAACCGGAGCUAAUACCGGAUAAUAUUUAGCUUCGCAUGAAGCAAUAGUGAAAGACGGUUCUGCUGUCACUUAUAGAUGGACCUGCGGUGUAUUAGCUAGUUGGUGAGGUAACGGCUCACCAAGGCAACGAUACAUAGCCGACCUGAGAGGGUGAUCGGCCACACUGGGACUGAGACACGGCCCAGACUCCUACGGGAGGCAGCAGUAGGGAAUCUUCCGCAAUGGACGAAAGUCUGACGGAGCAACGCCGCGUGAGUGAAGAAGGUUUUCGGAUCGUAAAACUCUGUUGUAAGGGAAGAACAGGUACGUUAGUAACUGAACGUACCUUGACGGUACCUUACCAGAAAGCCACGGCCAACUACGUGCCAGCCGCCGCCGUAAAAC